AGAUUAAGAGUCGAUAGAAUAAUGUAGGUAAGGGAAGUCGGCAAAUUAGAUCCGUAACUUCGGGAUAAGGAUUGGCUCUGAAGAUUUACAUGUGUCGGGACUGUUUGGGAUGUAUAUUAACAGUAUUGCUAAAGUAUCUGACUAAUUACCUUUACGGGUAGUGAAAGGAUAUGAUUACGCGAUACAAUAAUAUGGAACUCUCAAGCUGUUACAAUCUUUACAGAUUAACAACGACCAUCAACAAACAAUCAAUUCAGAACUGGCACGGACAAGGGGAAUCCGACUGUCUAAUUAAAACAAAGCAUUGUGAUGGCUCUAACGGCUGUUGACACAAUGUGAUUUCUGCCCAGUGCUCUGAAUGUCAAUGUGAAGAAAUUCAAGAAAGCGCGGGUAAACGGCGGGAGUAACUAUGACUCUCUUCUAAUUAGUGACGCGCAUGAAUGGAUUAACGAGAUUCCUACUGUCCCUGUCUACUAUCUAGCGAAACCACAGCCAAAGGAACGGGCUUGGAAUCAUUAGAGGGGAAAGAAGACCCUGUUGAGCUUGACUCUACUUUGGCACUGUAAGAAGACAUAAGAGGUGUAGCAUAAGUGGAACACAUUCAGCAAUGUGUAUCAACAAUGAAAAACCACUACUUUUAUCCUUUUCCUACUUACCUGAUUGAAUGAAGAAUGCAUUUUCAUUUAUACCAUAUUUACUAUGAACCAUUGCCACUUUGAGAUGUUAUAAAAGGAGUUAAGACACGAUCCAAGUCAGGGACACUGCCAGGUGGGGAGUUUGACUGGAACGGUACAUCUCUAAAACAAUAACGGAGGUGUCCCAAGGCCAGAUCAGUGCGGACAGAAAACACACGUAGAGCAAAAGAGCGAAUGCUGGCUUGAUCUCGAUGUUCAGCAAACAUAGAGGCGGCGAAAGCUCGAUCGAUAGAUUCUUUUGGCAUUAGUGAGUUUUUAGCAAGAGGUGUCAGAUAAAUUACUACAUUGCUAACUAACUUGCUUCCAUUCUUCUUUUUUUUUUUAAUAUUUAUCAAACAUGUACAAUUAUGAAUUUAAAUUACAAAAUUAAAUACAUUACAAUAUUUCACACACAACUUCGAACUAAAAAUUCGGGCGAUAUUAAAAAAAAGCCUAGGGGAGAGCGGGGUUAAAAAAGUCAUUUAAGGGUUUAGAAAAAGCUCAAAAUAUCAUAUUUCCCAAACAGAUAAAGCGAAAUGUAUAGUUCAAUUCUUUAGGAUAUUUCUUACCCUACAACUCUUUCUAAGAUCAUUUUGUUCUAUCUAGAUAGGAAAUAUGAUAUUUUAAGCUUUUUCCAAACCCUUAAGUGACUUUUUUAGCCCCGCUCUCCCCUACUAAAU
rnacentral:rRNA from 1 species